rnacentral:rRNA from 1 species
AUAAGCACCGGCUAACUACGUGCCAGCAGCCGCGGUAAUACGUAGGGUGCGAGCGUUAAUCGGAAUUACUGGGCGUAAAGCGUGCGCAGGCGGUUAUAUAAGACAGAUGUGAAAUCCCCGGGCUCAACCUGGGAACUGCAUUUGUGACUGUAUAGCUAGAGUACGGCAGAGGGGGAUGGAAUUCCGCGUGUAGCAGUGAAAUGCGUAGAUAUGCGGAGGAACACCGAUGGCGAAGGCAAUCCCCUGGGCCUGUACUGACGCUCAUGCACGAAAGCGUGGGGAGCAAACAGGAUUAGAUACCCUGGUAGUCCACGCCCUAAACGAUGUCAACUGGUUGUUGGGUCUUCACUGACUCAGUAACGAAGCUAACGCGUGAAGUUGACCGCCUGGGGAGUACGGCCGCAAGGUUGAAACUCAAAUGAAUUGACGGA